rnacentral:rRNA from 1 species
UUGGAGGGCAAGUCUGGUGCCAGCAGCCGCGGUAAUUCCAGCUCCAAUAGCGUAUAUUAAAGUUGUUGCAGUUAAAAAGCUCGUAGUUGAAUUUCGGGGUUAAUAAGUUGGUCGUGCCAAUGGUAUGUACUGGCUUUAUUGAUUCCUACCUCUUGAAGAACUGUGAUGCCAUUAAUUUGGUGUUGCAGGAAAUCAGGACUGUUACCUUGAAAAAAUUAGAGUGUUUAAAGCAGGCUUACGCUUGAAUACAUUAGCAUGGAAUAAUGAAAUAGGACGUUUGAACCUAUUUUGUUGGUUUUUAGGAUCGACGUAAUGAUUAAUAGGGAUAGUUGGGGGCAUUAGUAUUCAAUUGUCAGAGGUGAAAUUCUUGGAUUUAUUGAAGACUAACUACUGCGAAAGCAUUUGCCAAGGAUGUUUUCAUUAAUCAAGAACGAAAGUUAGGGGAUCGAAGACGAUCAGAUACCGUCGUAGUCUUAACCAUAAACUAUGCCGACUAGGGAUCGGAUGAUGUUAAUUUUUUAAUGACUCAUUCGGCGCCUUACGGGAAAC